AAGGACAUAAAUAUUCCUGUCUCUGUAUAGCCACUAUUCAUAAUCAUAAAAAUUAUAUACUUCUCUGUUUAAAAUCAAUCCACAGAGGAAGAUGUACCGGCUUUGUCACACUUGAGAAUAACACUUGCCAGCAUGACAUACAUAUUCGGGUUGGCAGUUUUAGUAAUACUCCCUCAAUCACUGUCACUCCUGCAAAGUGAUGUUACACAAGCUUCACGUGAUAUUGAAGACUAUAAAGUUUUCAGAUUGUCUUGGCAGUAGUCACUGCUUCAAGGGUGUUAUGCCUCCACAAACAGGUAGGAAAAAACUUAUUCCAGCAGACCUUUUCAGAACUAAUUUUUCAGGGGAAACAGCCCUUUUGCUGUGUGCUGGGGUUUUAUUUUUGUUAUUUUUAGAAAGACAAGAAACUAGUUUCAGAUUUUACGAUAGUUUAAUUGUUAUUUAACCUUUGUGCACUAUCAAUUUUAACUAUUUUCGUAAAACUGCCUUGAGCUCCACAAUAGGGAAAAGGCGGGAUGACUGUGAUGAUCAUUAUCAUAGACUACUAUACACUUAAAGGCAGGGUCAGCCCUGGUUGGUCCUUGGAUGGGAGACCACCAAUGAAUACUAGGUUCUACAGACUAUAUUUCAGAAGAAGGAACUUGAAAGAAGGGCAGUGGCUGAAGGCACAUUAUUUAACUUUCUUUGGGCUGCCCUGUUCCCAGCCACAAUCUUAAGGUGGUUAGGAUGAUAAAAAGCCCCAAACAGUUCAGAGACAACCUUCUGUCUUGCCUCUCAUGUCCCAGUGUGACUGAUAAGCUAAACCCAAUGGGCCUGGAAAACAACACUAGAAAGUACAGUAUAGGGAGAAAUUAUUAGGGUAUGUCUCCUAAACUGAAAUAUUCUUUUCCAAAGGUCUUUACCAGCAGGAUGUCCUAUCUCCAUUUGCCAUAUUUAGCAUAUUGCACUUUAUGCACAUCUCUGUUGUAUCCAAUUCAGAAGCAUACUGCUCACUGAGCCCACAAAACAGGAGGGAGAACUGGGGAUCCCAAACAAGAUGCCCCAGUCUAUAAAAGGAAGAAUCUUGUUGUGGGCUCCUGCCAACCUAGAAUAAUGCCUUUGGAACUGAGCAUUCUCUGUGGCUCUUACACUUCAACCAUAAAGUGAACUGCUGAACUCUCACAAUCUGUCUGCCUGACAUCUGGUUUCAUUAAAGCUUUUUCUGCCUAUCCCGGGGGAAAAGGAAGAAAACAGCAGAGAAGUCUGUAGAGGAAAAAACACUCCCUAAGGAUGUAAGACAGAUUGUGGAUCACUGGCCAAAGUCAGGGGACCAUCCACCACAGGGAUGGGAAACUUCUGUCCCUACAUAUGUUAAUAAACUACUGAUCUGAUCUCUUA